rnacentral:rRNA from 1 species
GAUGAACGCUGGCGGCGUGCCUAAUACAUGCAAGUCGAGCGAACAGACGAGGAGCUUGCUCCUCUGACGUUAGCGGCGGACGGGUGAGUAACACGUGGAUAACCUACCUAUAAGACUGGGAUAACUUCGGGAAACCGGAGCUAAUACCGGAUAAUAUAUUGAACCGCAUGGUUCAAUAGUGAAAGACGGUUUUGCUGUCACUUAUAGAUGGAUCCGCGCCGCAUUAGCUAGUUGUUAAGGUAACGGCUUACCAAGGCGACGAUGCGUAGCCGACCUGAGAGGGUGAUCGGCCACCCUGGAACUGAGACACGGUCCAGACUCCUACGGGAGGCAGCAGUAGGGAAUCUUCCGCAAUGGGCGAAAGCCUGACGGAGCAACGCCGCGUGAGUGAUGAAGGUCUUCGGAUCGUAAAACUCUGUUAUUAGGGAAGAACAAAUGUGUAAGUAACUAUGCACGUCUUGACGGUACCUAAUCAGAAAGCCACGGCUAACUACGUG